CGUUACUAAUGAGAAAGGUGGAAGAGGACUUUGGCAAAGCCAAGAUAUGUGUGUGUGUGUGUGUGUGUGUGUGUGAGCUCACAUGGGUGUGACUGUGACUGUGUGGGUGACGUUGUCCUGUUUAAUUAAAGAAUGGAGGCGGGGUUUUGCAGGGAGCCCUGUUGGUAAACAAUGCCUGUUUGCAGGCUACUCAGGAACGACCUGGGAAGUGGAAGGAUCUGAAAAUGUUGUGCAUGAAGUGGCCCGUUGGCUGUCCAAUGAAGUGUCUGUUAUCAGAAGGAAAUGUGUACUUUUUGAGAGUGAACACAACAAUGUAACCACCCCAUAUCAAGAAAUAGAGCAUUAUCAGCACCCUAGAAGCCAAAGCCACCUGCCUUUUCCUCUUGCUGCCUAAAGAGCACAAGCAGGAUGAGGAGCUGCAGUUACCCCGGGAUCUGAAAGUUCUAGAGUCGUCACUUGCUCUUCUGGAGUGUGGAGAUGAAUAAGGCCCAGUUCCGACAUCUGGGAUUUUGACUCUCCAGGCAAGAGGACAGGAAAAAGAUGUUUGGCUUCUAUGAACUAAUUCACUGUCCAGAGCAUCUUGGCAUCUGGCUGCUGCUGAGGAAAGAGGAGGAUGUUUGUGUGUGUGUGUGUGCACAUGCGCCCGUGUGUGCGUAUCUGAGGGAAGCUAAAUAUUACAUUUCAGGGCUUAGUCCUUCCAUACUUUGAAUUUAAUAUGUAAUUAUGAAUAAACAUGGAAACGUAAAAACAAAACCACCCAUGCCUCACGAUCCUAUUGACAUUGGGAGAGCACAUUUACUAUGUGUCUUCAUUCUUGUGGUCAGGUACGGAGCAUUACAGCCAUUUUUACAUGUGUGCAUGCUUUCAGUUACAACAGAGGCUGAAAAUGGGCAACCCUAUGAAACUACUGUUUUGUAUAUUUUUUAUUUAAUUUAAUUUUUUUGAGACAGAGUCUCACUCUGUCACCCAGGCUGGAGUGCAGUGGCACGAUGUCAGCAAACUGCAACCUCUGCCUCCCGGGUUCAAGCAAUUCUCCUGUCUCAGCCUCCCGAGUAGCUGGGAUUACAGGCACCUGCCACCACGCCCGGCUAAUUUUUGUAUUUUUAGUAGAGACGGGGUUUCACCUUGUUGGUCAGGCUGGUCACAAACUCCUGACCUCAGGUGAUCCACCUGCCUCAGCCUCCCAAAGUGCUGGGAUUACAGGCGUGAGCCACUGUGCCCGGCCUGCUUCGUUUAUUUUUAAAGAUGGCU
rnacentral:lncRNA from 10 species